UAGUUAAUUAUCAACUACUUAAAGCACAGAGAGAGUUCUUCUUGCUUUUCUAAAGCUUCAGUGGAAUCUCCCCAUGUAAAAACCUUUUCACCAAUACACAGGAAUUUCCAUUUCAGUGUGAAUUAAACCAAUUAUACAGAACACAGCUCCCAUCAGCCACUAUUUACUAUUACAUUUAUAUGCCACUUUUUCUCUAAGGACCUCAAAGUGGUGUACAUGGUUCUGCUCCUGCUCUCCAUUUUAUCCUCAAAGCAACCCUAUGAGGUAGGUUAGGUUGAGCUACCCCCUGUCUAUGUUAGGAUUCUAACCUAACAAGUUCUGAUAUGAAAACAGGAGAUCUAUAUUAUUGUGGGGAAUUCACACUUCAACUAAACAGUUCUACUGACUUAAUGAAUUCUCUGGUACAAAUCUGGGGUUCCCUUAUUACUAGGGAAUGAAUACUGUGAGUUUAACAUAAAUUACUCUACUGGCAAGGAUAUAGUAAAAGGCGCCCAUCAUUAUAGAGAAAAAUGUUUUAAAACAGAAUCAACAUGCAGACAAAUUUCCAUUGCUAGCUGUCAACACAUUGGAUGAAACAGAGCUUCUGAGAAGGCUCCAUUUUCAGUGGAAGAUAACUUUUAGUCAAAAACAUAUUUAUUUGCAGUGGAAAAUAAGUUUUAGUCAAACCAUUCAGGGUUUGGUUCCCAUUCAAGCCAAUAAAGGUUCUGUAACCCAUUAAAAAAAUGCUGGUAUGAAAAACAACCAAAGCUGGGGUAGCUCAGUCAAUAGAGCACGAGACUAUUAAUCUCAUGGUUGUGGGUUUGAGCACCACGCUGGGAAAAUAUUCCUGCAUUGCAAGGUGUUGGACUAGAUGACCCUCGUAGACCCUUCCAGCUCCACAAUCCUACAAUUCUAGGAACCAGUUGCUUCAGUUCUAGUUUCGAUGAGACAAUUUAAAUAUAAGGUACAAUGAAAACAUUGUUUGUAUAAUAAGGCACAGCAAACUAAAAUGCCUAAAAUUAUUAAAACUAAAGCCUUCUCCAGGCAUAUCCCCUUGUUACAGUUCUCAUCUCCCUCCAUGAUAUUUUGAGAUCUCAGGAACUGCAGAGAUUCUGUUCCCGUGAGACAUAAGUUUGCAAGAGGGCAGGAUUCCUCCAUUCAAGUAAGCUUGCUAGGUGUAAUCAGUGGUGGCUAACACCUGUUGAGAUUGGCAAGGAAGUAGGUAGGGAGCGCGGUAAGCCAGAGUCAACAAGAUGCAGAGCAAACUAAUUCUAUUUUUGUUCUCCUCCUUCUCCCUGCUGAAUCUACAAAGGGCACACUGAGACUAAGCUGGAGGAAGUUGAGAGGCAGUGCCGCUCUCUUCAGCCAUUGUAAGAAUGCAGGCUGGGGGAAGCUAGCUGAGGGCAGUCUGGCCUUGAUGGGGCAGUUCCCAAUUCACCCUAGUGGACCAACCUCCACUGGGUCUAAUUUGGGGUACCUACUACAGGCACCAGCCCCUAGCUUCUUCAAUGGGAUUUUUCCUGCCUCCCCACCCCAAAGUCCCUUGUUGUGUUACAGCACCUCCCAGGCUGAGAUUGGGUCUUACUAAUUUAAACACCUGCUAUAGUGUUUUGCCAAGUGGAGACAGUAGCCGUUAAUCCAAUGGCAUGAUAUGCAUCCAAUUACUUGCAGUAUCCAUCAGCAAAGCUUGCGGUCUUUGAGAUUUCUUUUCCAAUAAGUGUUGAGAAUUUAUUUCAGGACAAUACUUCGUAUAGCAAGUUCUGCAAUAAUAUUUUAAGACUGCAGUGGACACUCAGAAAAAGAAGCAGCAGUGGAGAAAUAUUAGCAUCAAACAAGAGCUGCUUUUAGUGAAAUUACAGUAUUAAACCAGAAUCCAGAUAUUCUCCAUCUUAAAAUCUUCAAGCCAUCACUGAAUGGAAACUCUCUCAUGUUCAGAUAAUACAAAGCUUCCUCUUCUAACAUGGGGCGUGAAGUAAGUCUCGCUUACUGAACUGUGGAAGAAGCAAGUAUUAACAUUUCCACCCAGAUUUCUGUAAUCUUUUUGGUUUGUCUUGUUACCUAGAAAAUCUCUUUGAUUAUCAUUUUAUGCUCUAGCUUAGCAGUUGUGCAAGGAACUAGUGGCGAGGAACACUUGUGUUAAUAUAAUUUCAAGGCCAGUGUUUUGGCCGAGAUGCAUUUCCUGCUGUAUUAUAUGCCUCAGAUCCAACUUUAGGUGGCAAGCCUCACUUUUACUAGGGAGUACUCUCCACUGAACACAAUGG